GCUCGUACUCCCCGAAAUGUUUUUUGGAACAGCCUCGAGGUAAAGUAUCACGGAGGUAGAGCUACCGAUAGGACUAGGGGGCUUCACCGCCUACCAAAUCCUGACGAACUCCGAAUGCCGUGAUAUAUACUCGGGAGUGAGCCCAUGGGUGCUAAGGUCCUUGGGCGAGAGGGAAAGAACCCGGACCAUCAGCUAAGGUCCCCAAAUCCAGACUAAGUUGUAUAAAACGAGGUGUGACUGCAGAGACAGCCGGGAUGUUUGCUUGGAAGCAGCCAU
rnacentral:rRNA from 1 species